rnacentral:rRNA from 1 species
AUUGAACGCUGGCGGCAGGCCUAACACAUGCAAGUCGGACGGUAGCACAGAGAGCUUGCUCUUGGGUGACGAGUGGCGGACGGGUGAGUAAUGUCUGGGGAUCUGCCCGAUAGAGGGGGAUAACCACUGGAAACGGUGGCUAAUACCGCAUAACGUCGCAAGACCAAAGAGGGGGACCUUCGGGCCUCUCACUAUCGGAUGAACCCAGAUGGGAUUAGCUAGUAGGCGGGGUAACGGCCCACCUAGGCGACGAUCCCUAGCUGGUCUGAGAGGAUGACCAGCCACACUGGAACUGGGACACGGUCCAGACUCCUACGGGAGGCAGCAGUGGGGAAUAUUGCACAAUGGGCGCAAGCCUGAUGCAGCCAUGCCGCGUGUAUGAAGAAGGCCUUCGGGUUGUAAAGUACUUUCAGCGGGGAGGAAGGCGGUGAGGUUAAUAACCUUGCCGAUUGACGUUACCCGCAGAAGAAGCACCGGCUAACUCCGUGCCAGCCGCCGCCGUAAUAC